GACAGAGGGUGCAAACGUUGCUCGGAAUUACUGGGCGUAAAGCGCGUGUAGGCGGCCCAGCAAGUCGGACGUGAAAUCCCUGAGCUCAACUCAGGAACUGCAUCCGAAACUGCUGGUCUGGAGUGGUGGGGAGGGAAGCAGAAUUCCUGGUGUAGAGGUGAAAUUCGUAGAUAUCAGGAGGAACACCGGUGGCGAAGGCGGCUUCCUGGACAGUUACUGACGCUGAGACGCGAAAGCGUGGGGAGCAAACAGG
rnacentral:rRNA from 1 species